AUGCUCGGGGAGGGGAGAAGAGGGGGUGCUGGAGGGAGGAAUCGGGAGUGGAGGGGGCAGCAGGACAGAGCUCCCGGCUGCCACAGGCACCCCACUCUUUUCCCCCCGGGACGCGCUCCUCGGGGAGGAGAGGACGGAGGAAGCGAGGAAGCGCUGAGACCCUCAGCCCUCCGGGUAGUUCGGAACCAGGUUGACCCGUCCGAGCUGGAAGGGCGCAUCCUGGGGUUGGGAAGAGGGUGUCCGACGGAUGAGGAGGGCAAUACCCGGGGCCCGAGACCGCCCACCCACGAGAGGGGUGCGCGCCAGCCAGUCCCGCGCUCCAGCCUUCGGCCCCUGGCCGGGAACUUGCCCUCGAGCCCGUCCCAGGUGCUCACUGCGCGCCGCUCCGGCCUCUCCGCGCUCUCCGCCGUCCUCCGCGCUCACGGGUCGGGGGCUCGCAGCCGCUCGGGCCCGCAGCCGCUCGCCCCCGCAGCGCUGCCUGAUCAGGGUCGGCGCCGGCUCCGCGCCCGCGCCCGCGCCCCGCGCCAGCCGCACGCGAACUUUCCGGCGGCGGCGACGCUGGGCGGCGGCGGAGGGGGAGGGAGGGGGCGGGGGCAGCAGCGGCCCGCAGGUGGAGCGGCGGCCGAGGGUCCCCGCCUGCCGCUCCGAGCCCCUGCCCGCGCCUCCGCCCUCCUGCCGCGGCCGCGGCGAGCGACUCGCCGCCCCGGAGCCCUGCCCGACAGACCCCUCCCUGCGCGCCGAUGCCGGCACCUGCCUCGCGCACUCCUAUCCUGCGGGACUCUCCCCGAGGACACCGCCCCGCAGACCUCCCCACCCAGAGCUCACUGGGGAGACCCCCGCCCGGGGAACCCCGGCCGGCCGAUUGCAGCUCCCAGCCGGGAAAGGAGCGGUGGACGGACAGUUCCCUGUGUACCACCCGGGUCUCCUGGUGUUCACACUGCUAGAUGCCCAGCGCCACAUCAGGACCCCUCUCCACUGGCCCGCUGCCAUUUCCUGGAUGCACUUCCUCGGCCCACCCACCAGCUGGACACCCGGCAGGGAUCCUGA
ensembl:lncRNA